rnacentral:rRNA from 1 species
GACGAACCGUGCAAACGUUGUUCGGAAUCACUGGGCUUAAAGGGCGCGUAGGCGGGCUGUCAAGUCAGGGGUGAAAUCUUUCGGCUCAACCGGAUAACUGCCUUUGAUACUGACAGUCUUGAGGGAGGUAGGGGCAUGUGGAACUUCCGGUGGAGCGGUGAAAUGCGUUGAUAUCGGGAGGAACGCCGGUGGCGAAAGCGACGUGCUGGGCCUCUUCUGACGCUGAGGCGCGAAAGCUAGGGGAGCGAACGG